AUUGCAUUUGACUUUGGCCUCAGUAUUUGGUUUGGGGCGCUCAACAGUUAAAAUCAAUAAUAUGAGCAAACAAAGUAGAAGGCAGGGAGUAAAUCAAAAAUGUGGGACUAUCUGUCAGGAGGUCGUGGGGCAUCACAGACAUGUUCUUGAAUGUUGUUAAUUGUGACAAAUUACCUUAGCUGAUUAGAUGAUUAACAUUAUUCUACUGGGACAAAAAGCCCCCGUGACGCAUAGUAAGUGUGAUCCUCCAUUUGUGAAGUGUUUACCAUAAAAAAAAACAAAUAUCAAUACAAAUGAUUUUGUACAUAAUAACAGCAACUCUCUUCUGUUUGUCUGUUCUAUGCUUCUGUAGAAAAUACAGAGUCGCUCCUUUGCAUUCAAAGUAAACAAAAAGAAAAUUAUUCAGAAAUCCAGGUGAUUAUACCCUUAUUUAAACAAAGUUAUGAAUAAUUUAUUCAAUUUUAAUCAUUUAUUCUGAUUUCUGCUGCUAAAUACUGCACACUCUACCUUUAUUGUUUCCUGCUUUAUCUCUGUUAGUCGUCUUCAUACUCUCUCUAUUAUAGUUUGUCUGUGCUCUUUUAUUUGUGCAUGUGCUGUCCCUCUAGUAGGUUCGAGCUUUGAGUGUUUUGUUAAACACACACUGUACACAUACACACCUCCUAGACAAAUUCCUGCCCUGAGACUCAACACUGUGUGGCUGAAGCUCUGAGAGCGAGAGUUAAAUUAGUCCUCUCCCUCACUCUCUCUAUCUCUGACUCUCAUUAUAUUCUUCUCCAUCUUACAGCCAUUAUUUGUAAAAGGUUGCUAUGUAACCAUGAAUCAUUCAUUUACAGAGCUCUGAUUUUGCAUUUGUGUACCCUCUUUCUCUGUAUCUGUGUUUGUGUGAGUACAGUAAUUUGAUUUUUCCCUGUCCUCAGCUGCAGUGUCACACAGUAAAGUGAAAACACCAAUCUGUGUCUGAUCAGCUGCCCACACUUAAGAUCAGAGCAGUUUGUUAUACUGUGUGUAAAAAAACUGAUGCACUUUAACAAUAUAAGAGUAAUACGAUAUAAUACCAAAAGGAAAAUUUUGACUGCAUACAAUUUAAUCUCACUGAAAAUACAACCCCAUUUUGAUAUUUCCAAACUAUUUCAAAGUUUUAAAGUUUUGAUAAAGUUAGUGCAAACAAGAAUUCAAAUACUAGGACUAAGAUCUGUGUACGUUGUUCAGCAUUAAUGUUGCAUUAACUGUGCACUAUGUAGCACCUAUUCUCCUAAGAGUAGAGAAAACAGCAUCCAUGGUUUCCAUAAAAGACUGUCACAUUUAGAUCUGGAAGACUACGGGACAAGUUUUUUUUUUUUACUUCGCAAUGGUCCACCAUCCAUCAUAGCCCAUCAUAAUCCAUAGUCCAGAGCAGAUAUUUCUUGAUCAUGUUUAUACAUAGUUUGUUUUAGCAUAUAUUUGUGGAUACAGUCACAAUCUGAAUUCAAAGACAAUGGAGUUGAGAAUUUCCCAGUUUGGCAUCAAUAAAGUAUAUCUAGCUGUCUAGCUAUUGAGGAGUGAGUUUGAGCCCAUGCAGUGACUCCAAGUACAGAGUAAUGUCUGUUUUUAAUACAGUACCACUGAAAGGCUCCAAAAUUCCACCCAUUAAGUAUUGGUAUCCAGCUUUGUCUUUUUCAUGUUGAGAUUUCUCCUGAUUUUAUCCGGAUCGUCAAAUGGUGUUAUGUACUGCAAACACCCCAUUUUUAAAAACAAUCUUAUACAGAAAACAUUUAUAUUUUCUUCAGCUUUUUGCUCACAAAGUCUCUCACAGAGUGGUGAACUUCUUCCCAUCUUUCUCUAAAGUGCCUUUAUACUCAGUCGUGUUUCUGACAUGUUGCAAAUUAACCCAACAAAUUAGGACAUGUUUUAAUUUAAAGCAACUUUUUCAGUGUUUUGUUGUCCCUGUCAUAACUUUUUUGGCAUCAAAUUGAAUAAGGGGAAAUCUUUCUUAUAAAACAAUAAAAUUUCUCAGUUUCAAGACAUGGCAUGUUGUUUUUGUACUCUUUUAACUAUACAUCGGCUUCAAAUUAAUUGCAAACCAUCAAAUUCUGUUUUAUCAACCCCAACCCAAACUUUUGCGGGGGCUGUAUUACACAAAUUUACACAAAAUUCUUCUGUAAUACUUUUUUUAGGGGGGAUGGGCUGUUUGAUAUUCUGCAGAAGUGUAGCUGCAAUUAGUCAGCGUGGCCUCAUUACACUUAAUACAUUUAACAGUGGGAGUAAAUGUGGAUGGGGAAAUUUGAUUUAGUGUCCAAAGCCAUUAUCACUGUGAAGACUUAAACAGUCCCUGUGGAACAUUUCUACACCUCUCUCUCUCUUUCUCCCUCUCUCUCUCUUUAUUCGCCUUUCCCCCUGAGACUCUCAUCAGGUCAGUGAGCUCCUUUUAGCAGAAUGAUCUCCAUAUCUCAAAUAAGAUCACACAAGCAAAAGGGAGGCGCUGAUAAAUCCAUAACCCCCUGGCUGUCCCUCCUCCUUUCCUGCCCUGAAUGUUUGUAUAUUUUUUUCCCUUCUGUCUACAUUCAAGUGCUCCACUAGGACAGAGGGGAUGAAAAGGUAAAGAUGCAGGUCACUUAGGGGGAAUGGGGGAGGGAAAGGAUAGAGGAAGAAAGAGAGGAGGGGAGAGGAAUCAAUGUGGAAGUAAAGAGGUUAGGGACAGAGAAAACGCUGAUGAGGACGUACAGAGAAAAAAGGGUGAUUUAAAAGGAAAGAAUGGAAGUUUGAAAUAGUUAAAAAAGAAAAAGAGAUGUGCAGCUUGAAGGAUGGAUGAGCGGGGAGUGAACGGGAGAGAGUGGAUGUUUAAAGGUCAUGUGUAUUAGUGCAGAGACAUGGACUCAGUCUCCUCCUCUUCUUUUCCUCUCUCUCUUUAUCCUUCACCUCCCUGCAUCACUCUCUUUCUGCAACGAGUUCUCUCUUUUGUGCUCACACCAUCUUCGUUUCUGUCCUUCCUCUUUCAUGCUUUCACCCCUCCCUCGUCUUUCUAUCCUUCAGUCUCUUACAAGCCGACUCCCUCCCUCCCACCGUCUCUCUCCAUCUUCCUGGUUCAGCUUCAAAGAGCCGUCUCCCUGACAGACCUCCAGGGCACCUGCCUCUUGAGGUGGAAUAAAAUCACCCAUCCCCUUUUCACGGACUGUGUGUGUGUGUGUGUGUGUGUGUGAGUGAGUGUGCGCGCGCAAGUACAAAAGGGCCUCAGGCAGUGCAGCAACAAACAAGCAAAUCCAAUAAAAGUAGGUAAACGUGGACCGCAGGGUCGUGUCUCCCUCGGAAUCAAAUUUGUGUCCGUGUUGUUGGUUACUCUUACAGCCAAAAUUCAAUUUGAGUGCAUGAAUGUGUACUCGUGUUAGUUUGCAGAGUGUGGUAGUCUGUCAUUGUGAGCAUAUGUCUCCGUAUGUUUGUAUUUAUUUGAGUUUAUGUGCUCUAAAAGAUCACCUGAGUAUCUGAUGCCUCUCAGGGCAUGUGCUGGCCUCUGGAUGGCACAGAUUGGAUUAGAGGUUCUGGAUCAAGCUGUGUGUAAAUCAGACAGCCGUAAAAUGUUGGUGACCUUCAUGUGGAGCAGAAAGGAGAGGAGAGAAGAAGUGUUGCCAGUUUUCUCUGUAAUUCAGUCUAUUAACAUGGCAGCCAUUUUCCUCUAAAGUAACACUCAGGAAGAGGAUUUCAGGUGCUGUUCUGCUGUACCCCAGAUAGUGAGUCAUAUAAUGUUGCCUGCAAAUAAGGCAACCCUAAUAUCGAGACUAACCCUUCCUCCCCUUUCCCACUCAGACAAAUCUUAAUGAAAAGAAAUCUCAGACACCAAAUCUUAGCUCUCAUUCAAUAAAAACAUUGGUAAAGCUGUGUAGAUUAAAAAAAGGCUAAUAAAAGUUCUUGGUACAAAAGAAUCCUUGGCCAUAUUCACUCUGGGUGCCAAGAAAAGACCAAACAGCCAAAUGCAAACCUAUAUGCAUCUCUCACCAUUUUCCAACCAAAUACCAACUGAGCAACAGGAUUAGGUCAUAUAUUUACAACCAUUAUGCCACUUAUAAUUUCAAUGAUUUCAAAAUAUGUAGAGGAAAUAUGUAUGGAGACAUUUUAAACAUUGUUAUCUGAAGCCCGAGCCUGCCAAUGCCUCUAAUGUGGCUAAAUGUGUUCGUAAUCCUCCAAUAUAAAGGUGCUGAAUGGAAACAUUCCCUGUUGUCAAACUAGAUAAUGGCUCUUCCUGUUCAUUGUUGUGUUAAAAAAGGCUAAACUUUGUGAACUUUCACUGGCAAUUCUCUGUAAAAGAUCAUGUUGAGUGAUCAGGUGGUUAUGCAUAUUAAAAUCCUGACUGGGUCUGCUCACCCUGUCAGGACUUAAAUUUGCGUCUGUUUCCACUUCUUAUCUAGCUUUCAACUAAAGAUGGAAAAUAUUGAUUUACAAAUGACUUUGCGUAUCUAAAAAUGGUUUAUUCAUGCAACCAAGAAAAGUAGUCCUCAGGGUCAGUAUCACUUCCAUGGCAACGUAUUCUCAUCAGCCUCUGCAGAAUGAAUUAACAUAAAUCUGAACAUUUCCAUUCAGGGUCAAGUUUGAACAUCACCCUGCCUAUUUGUUCUAAUUCACAUUAAAAUUAACAUUUCUAUUUAACAAAGCGAGCAGAGCUUCUGCAGGAAUACUGAGUUAAUAUUUAUGUCUUCAUUCAUCUCCUCUUCGUCAUUGAAAAGAUGCUUUCAAGAAUUUUUUGACUUACCCUUAAACUAUUUGGCUGUCUGAAAAUGUUGCAUCUGCAUUGCUGCUUUUAAACCAUAAUGGGCAUUAUUUAUGAAUUAAGGUACAGCUAAUAAUAUAAAUUACUAGAUAUUAAAAAUAAUCAACCUAAACCUCAAGUUGUCCCAUGGUUGUUAAAGGCUGGCGCUGUCACUACCAUUUAAUGUUUGAAAGCUCUGUACAUACUUGUGAUUACUUUUGAGCACAGUUCAGUGUCUGUUAACAUGGCAACAGCAGGGGAAGAGACUAGGAGUAAAUUCAUUCUG